GGCAUGGGGCUGGCCCUAGAUCAAGGAUAGCUGCAUCUGCCCCAUUAGGCAGAUUGGGUCCUGGGGCUGACAUCUCAAUAACAAGGGAACACAAGGGGCAGAUAAUGGAGAGAAACAACCCUCAGGGGGUUUUUUUUGAGGGUCCUGAAAGAAAAGAUAAAGAGCUUAGGUCCAAUGCUAUAAAGUCAAGAAAAUGCUGGCAGAGGAAUGCAAAAGGAAAGUCCCACACAUUGUCUUAAGAUUGGAAAUGCUGAGUCAGAACUAGAGGGGGGAAAAAAAAUGUGGAUCAAUAAAUGAUAGAUGGAGGUGCAGUCCUAUUAACACCAGGAGCUAUAUGUCAGUCUCUGGAAUGGCAUUAAAGGGAAAGCUGACUCCAGCGGAGAAGCUCCAUCCUGA